GCGGCGCGUGGGCCUGCGCGUGAGGAGGGCCGUUGGAAAGGUGUCAGGCGCGCGGCUCCCGGAGGCGGCGACACGACGCGGAGUUAACCGUUGUCGGGGGGGGCGCACUUGGCGUAACCCAGAGCUGCAGUGAGGCUGGAGCUCAGUGAGCGCCCGGGGUGGCGCUGGAGGCCGGGAAGGGUCCUUCUCCCGGAGUCUGGUCGCUAAGCCGCGUGGGGUCCGGUCCCGUUCUCCGUCCGCUGCCCCUUCCUCGGCCCCGGGCCCUGCAGAUGCGCGUUAAGGACCCUGGUUGGCCCGUUGGCGUCCGCUCCGCUCGCCCCCUCCAGGCUCUGCUGGGAAGCAAUGGUUUUCAACUUUUCCCCUUAAUAUACUUUUCUUCUUAAUAUUUCUGAGGGUUGUCAUUCCAACCUGGGCUGUUGCUCAUGGCCCACGCUAUGCAGCAAGCUUUCUCAAAACCUGGAGUCUGUCACAGACCUUUACUUCAGCCAGCAACACACCUGUUAACCUGGCCAAGGCACCUCUUCAUCUCUUAGUUCCUGCUCAUAGGUUUGUGUGCUUAUUGAUGCCAUUCCUGAAUUUCCCAAGCAAAAUUACCCUUUUGUCUCAGUUUUCACACUCUGUUUCUCCAUUAUUAAGGACACAGUCAAUAUACUUCAGCCAAACUUCCCCUUUCCACUUCCCCCCGCCCCCCACACCCUGCAAAAAAGAAAGGAAAAAAAGAUACACCUGUACUUGAGAGAC
rnacentral:lncRNA from 1 species